UGGGGAAUUUUGCACAAUGGGGGAAACCCUGAUGCAGCGACGCCGCGUGAUGUAGAAGGCCUUCGGGUUGUAAAAAUCUUUUCUAUGGGAAGAAAAUGACAGUACCAUAGGAAUAAGGACCGGCUAAUUACGUGCCAGCAGCCGCGGUAAUACGUAAGGUCCGAGCGUUGUCCGGAAUCAUUGGGCGUAAAGGGUACGUAGGCGGGUAAGCAAGUUAGAAGUGAAAUCCUAUAGCUCAACUAUAGUAAGCUUUUAAAACUGCUCAUCUUGAGGUAUGGAAGGGAAAGUGGAAUUCCUAGUGUAGCGGUGAAAUGCGCAGAUAUUAGGAGGAAUACCGGUGGCGAAGGCGGCUUUCUGGCCAUAACCUGACGCUGAGGUACGAAAGCGUGGGUAGCAAACAGG
rnacentral:rRNA from 1 species